GGCUGGUUAGCUCAGUUGGUUAGAGCAUGGUGCUGAUAACACCAAGGUCAAGGGUUCGGAUCCCCAUAUGGGCCA